UACGUAGGGGGCAAGCGUUGUCCGGAUUUAUUGGGCGUAAAGAGCGUGUAGGCGGUUUGGUAGGUCCGUUGUGAAAACUCGAGGCUCAACCUCGAGACGCCGAUGGAAACCAUCAGACUAGAGUCCGGAAGAGGAGAGUGGAAUUCCUGGUGUAGCGGUGAAAUGCGCAGAUAUCAGGAGGAACACCGGUGGCGAAGGCGGAUCUCUGGGCCUUACCUGACGCUCAGGUGCGAAAGCUAGGGGAGCGAACAGG
rnacentral:rRNA from 1 species